GAUUUAUGUCAGAGGAAAAUACCAACAGACAAUAUUAUGACAUUAUGCAACAGUGGUGGAAGGUAGGUGAACAGCGGAUCUUCGUUAACUCCAUUUACGUCCACCUUACAAAAAAUGGGAAACCUUGGCACGAAUCCUCUUCCGGGUCUCACGUACUUAAGGAUGUUCAGGGUUUCAUGAUUCCCCUCUAAAGCAAGAAGCACAAAUGCAGGGGCUGCCUGAAAAAAUGUGAUGUGACAUGUGGGAUGAGCAAGAUGAAGCGAGAGGAGGAGGCGGACGCCGGGGCUGAGAGCGACCCAGAGGGCUUUCUCUUUUCAUGACGUCGUUCAAUUGUGGAGGAUUGCAUAAAAAUAACACCUUCAGGUAGCUCUCUGGUCUGCGGGAAGGUGACUGAGAUUAGAGACUGUGGUGAAAUUACCGCAUCACAGGAAACAGUGAAACGGGCAGAAGACACAAGGCGAACCAAGUGCCUCGCGAGCCACCGACUCAAGCUUGACAGUUUGAAGAUUUGCUGGCAUCCCCGGGAGUCUAUGCAAAGCAUUAAAUUAAACCUGCGUCACGAAGCUUUUCGCUAUAUUUCACGUCCUUUCAGCCGCACGAUGCAUAGCAAAAUCUACUCGACAGUUUUCUCGGAUAUUUUUUUUUAACAUUGUCUUAUUUCUGAAGUUUAAAAUGAAUCUAUUUCCCCUUUGUUUAUAGAAAACACAAGUAGAUAUGACAAUAUUUAAAUCAAGUUUUGUUUUUUUCUUCCCCUUUUUGCAUAUGCUUUUUUCUCCUGAUACCAAACAAGCUUUGAAACAGUGUUUGCCUCCCCAUGAGAUUUAACUUGCAUCAGAAAUGAUUGAAAUUAGACAAUACAAAAACCGGUUUCCUUCAUUUAAAAAAAAAAAAAAUUCUGUCAUUCACUUCGUGUGUACUAUACGUAUACUAACAGUAUAUACUCACGAACAUAAUGGAAAGCCAUUAAGAUUCAACCCCACUAACCUGUAGUGUAGAGGAGGCUGCAGCUGCACUUUGGAGACCCAGGAGGCCUUACUCUCCAUAUCAUGACAGCACAUAAUGCAAAAUCCCUACAUGAAAACAUAGACUCACUGUAGCAAACCUAAUUGAUGUCAUUGGGCUCUGGCAAAAUAAGACAUCGAUUUAAGAAUCAAUGUUAUACGAGCGCCCUCUUCUAAUAAUACACACUUUUAGCAUCAAAGUUACAUUACUUGCAUGCAUGCGUGUGUGUCCCAUGUCAAUCCCCCGUCCCCCUUCUCAAGCACCACAUUCCUCACAUACGUGGUAAUGUGUGACAACGGACACAGCUUAGUGGCACUCGCAGCAUAAGAAAACCUCCAAGGCAGCAAAAGAAACAAGGCGGAAACUGCCGCUUGCGCAAUCUGUGUUGACAUAUUGACACUUGACUAAGGGUGUAAAAUAAAAGAAUACAAUUUCCCUUUAAAUCAACGGCAAGUGACGAAAAAUGACCCAAAAUCAACAGAAAGUGACCCAAAAUUAACAGGACAUGCCUUGGAAGUACCUUGGAUUGAGAAUAUAAACGUUAAUUCGCGGCUAAACUUCACGUGCAUCGCAGAUUAAAAAAAAGAUAUUACAUUAUUAUCAGUGUUGGGAGUAACGCCGUUACGUAACGGCGUUAUUUUUUCAGUAACGGGGUCAUCUAACUAAUUACUUUUUCCGCCGUUACAACGCCUUUACCGUUACUGACGGUCAAAAGCGGUGCGUUACUUACUCUGAAUAAAUUGAAGAAACUACCAGCCGUGUCGAGUCGACUCUCUGCUCUGUUGAUUUGUCAUCCAAGACUUGGGGUACGUUCAGGUUCGAGAAUAGCGCACGUACUUCUGAUUCCAAACUGUUUGUUCCUGCUCAUUCAAUUAGACAAUGCUUUCCAAAGUUUGGUAGCAUUUGUCUGUUUGCUACACCUGAUGCUAGCCUCGUUCCCAUCUCCCACUGUCAGCCAGCAAUAAUUCUGCUUCCAUCUGGAGGACGGCAGACGCUUUGAAGGUGACGUGAAUUGUCGGGAAAGGAGCCUACCUAAAUGCAGCCCCUCGAGAGAUGCUAUGGAAGUGAUUGUGAUUGGCUGAGGGUUAGAGUCAUGUGUCGUAGUAAGCCAAUCAGAGCCGUUGAUUUCACAAGCAAACCGGAACAGCGCGUGCGGCAAACACACACACGCAAAACAGAUGCACAGGGUCAGGAUGGCAGAGCAUUCAGAAGAAAAAUUGUCCUUUAAGAGGUGGAGAUAUAGACACUAUUUCAAGUUUGUCAAAAUUAAAGGAAAGAACCUGCAUGUAAUGUGUAAUUUAUGUCCCGGGGCAAAGCUUUUGUCGACAUCUGUGGCAAGCAAUUCAAAUCUGCUGAAGCACCUAACAAAUUAACUACCUGUCUGUUUUUCUCUAUUCCACUGACUCGAAUACUGCUCAGAAAAUUUCAAAUUGUUUGACAUACAACAAGUUCUUUUUAAAGUAACGGAAAUAGUUACUUUCACUGGUAACUCGUUACUUUUACUAUAGAGUAAUUCAGUUACUAACUCAGUUACAUUACUCACUACUUCUUCCAAAAAGUAACUAAUUACUUUUUUAAAGUAACAUGCCCAACACUGAUUAUUAUAUAAAAUAGUUCUAAAGCAUAUUAAUGUACUCUUUAUUUACAUCUACGUAUGUAUGUACACAUGCUCCCCACCCACACCCGCCCGUAUCUUAUUAGAGAGUGAGACAAUGAAUGUAAAGUACGUAUUAUUCAUACAUUAUAUAUGUUAUUUAUAUUAUGAAUAUUUUAUUUACAUUUUACAAAAUAUUAUUUAGUGUUUUAAUGAUAAAAUAUGCAUUUGUAGGGUUAUACACACACUUAUUGAUAUUAUAUACUGUAUACACUAGGCCUGAACGAUAUUGUAAAAAACUAUUGUUGCGACUUUUUUGGGGUUUGCGAUAUACUGCGAUAUUACUGUAUAUUGCGAUAUUAAAACUAUAUAUAUUAGGGCUGUCAAACGAUUAAAAUUUUUAAUCUAGUUAAUCACUGCUUAAAAAUUAAAUAUUCAUAAUUAAUCACAAUUCAAAGAUAAGACACAAGACGGACAUAUAGAUUCAACAUACUGUACAUAAGUACUGUAUUUGUUUAUUAUAACAAUAAAUCCCACAAGAUGGUAUUAUUAUUACUAGGGUUGUUCCGAUCAUGUUUUUUGCUCCUGAUCCGAUCCCGAUCGUUUUAGUUUGAGUAUCUGCCGAUCCCGAUAUUUCCCAAUCCGAUUGCUUUUCUUUGCUCCCGAUUCAAUUCCAAUCAUUCCCGAUAAUUUUUCCCGAUCAUAUACAUUUUGGCAAUGCAUUAAGAAAAAAAUGAAUAAAACUCGGACGAAUAUAUACAUUCAACAUACAGUACAUAAGUACUGUAUUUGUUUAUUAUGACAAUAAAUCCUCAAGAUGGCAUUUACAUUAUUAACAUUAACAUUCUUUCUGUGAGAGGGAUCCACGGAUAGAAGGACUUGUAAUUAUUAAAGGAUAAAUGUGACUUUGUAUAUUGUGACUAAAUAUUGCCAUCUAGUGUAUUUGUUGAGCUUUCAGUAAAUGAUACUGUAGCCAUUUAACUUCUGCCCAAAUGCAUGAUGGGAAGUGCAACCAUGACUGUGCGUCGUGGUACCAAUUGAUAUAUCUUCUCUGCGUUGGGAAAUAACAUAUGGUGUUAAGAAAAAGCUCUACUACUACCUUUCUUCCCCACAUUGCUUCCCACGAUUAUUCUAAUCGUUGGGAGAGGGAUUGUAAGGUUUUAGCCAUUUAAAAAAAGGCUCCAAACGCUGCCAAAAUUCUCUCUACUCAUUUUACGCCGCCUUUUAGGUCUAUAUACUGUAUGGGUAAAAUGGCGUCAUUAUAAAUUGAACGCGACAAUGCGUGAGUGGGUCGUGCAGCGCAUGUGUUAAUUGCGUUAAAUAAUGUAAUGUGAUAAUUGUAAAAAAUAUAAAUUCUCACCGUUAACGCGAUAAAUUGAUAACCCUACCUUAAGCUUAAACUGAAGACUCUGGAAGAGUGUAACACAUUAUGUCUGUAACGUUAAAUACAAUUAGAAAACGAUUUAAUUAAAAAAAAAAAAAAAAAAAUUAAAAAAGGCAUGUCCGAUAUUUUUUUUGCCGAUUCCGAUACUUUGAAAAUGAUGUGAUCGGACCCGAUAUGCCGAUCGAUCGGGACAUCUGUAAUUAUUACCAUUCUUUCUGUUAAAGGGAUCCACGGAUAGAAAGACUUGUAGUUCUGGAAGGAUAAAUGUGAGUACAAGUUAUAGUAAUUUUAUAUUAAAACCCCUCUUAAUGUUUUCAUUUUAAUAAAAUUUGUAAAAUUUUCAAUCAAAAAAUCAACUAACUUUAGGGGGCCUCACGGCUGCCUCCUCACCACAGGCCCCGCCAUCCCUGCACCUUUUUUAAAUGCACCACACACAUCAUAAUCCACAGGAGAGCUCCGGCAAAGGGCGGUGGGACGGGCGGCUGGGCAGAAACUCCAUGCUGUGGUCCCACUGCCCCAAGCCAAGCUUUCCUAUUUUAAUGCAUACAUUGCACUACCCUCCCCUCACACCCCCAUCACGGUGCUGGGUGAUGGCUGCCAGUCGGGAACCUGGCAGCCACAGUAAUAGGGUGGUAGGUGGGUCCCACACUUUUUCUAUAUGGCGUGGCUCCCGGGGUGUGGCCUCCCCUCUGCCUCGGCUGCCGGCCGCGGGUGUGGGUUGGGGGGUCGGGUCUCCGAUCUUGCAUCGCCCCGUGGCAGUUCCUGGGCGUUUUCCUGCCUCCGCCUUCCCCUCUCUUCUCUGGCUGGGCAUCCGCCCUGCGCUCCGUCGCGGGUCGCUGGCUGGGCGCCGGUGUAUCAGCAGGGUGUCGCCUGCACCGGCGGGGGACCCUGCCUUGCCUGGGGCUUGGUGGGCCGCUGGGGGUCCCGUGGCGU